GUGAAUCAUCGAAUUUUUGAACGCAAAUUGCACUCUCUGGUAUUCCGGAGAGUAUGCCUGUUUGAGGGUCAGUUUAAAUAAAAAUCGGUGUGGUUGCUGCCUUUCGUGGUGACGCACCGGAUUUGGGUCGUCUUGCCUUCGGUUAAGUGACCUAAAAUUUUGCAUGAUUUUUUUCGACGUAAUUUAGGGGUUUUACGUUAGGUUUCGGUUACGGAU
rnacentral:misc_RNA from 1 species